AUUGCUACUUUAUUGCCAGGUAGCUUGCUUAAAAACUUGGAGCGCAACCGGAGAAUCGUCUGCAGAGAAUAAUAGAAAAGUUACACGGCUGAGGCUGACAUUUGUAUAUGUUGAGGAUGGAGAAUAUAGACAGUAGCGCACCUGGAGAUACUUCAUUGUCUGAGAACAUAGUCCGGCUUUGAUAGCCAGUUGUAAACUACAAGAUAGUCUAAUUAGAAAGUUAACCGAGUUUCGACAACAACCACA
rnacentral:misc_RNA from 1 species